rnacentral:rRNA from 1 species
CGGGGAGUAGCAAUACUUCGCCGGCGACCGGCGCACGGGUGAGUAACACGUGUGCAACCAACCCCGUACCGGGAGAUAACCCGCGGAAACGUGGACUAACAUCCCAUAACACUGUAUCAUCGCAUGGUGAUGCAUUUAAAAUUCCGGUGGUACGGGACGGGCACGCGCGACAUUAGGUAGUUGGCGGGGUAACGGCCCACCAAGCCGACGAUGUCUAGGGGUUCUGAGAGGAAGGUCCCCCACACUGGAACUGAGACACGGUCCAGACUCCUACGGGAGGCAGCAGUGAGGAAUAUUGGUCAAUGGGCGAGAGCCUGAACCAGCCGAGUCGCGUGAGGGAAGAAUGGUCUAUGGCCUGUAAACCUCUUUUGCCAGGGAAGAAUAAAUUGCACGCGUGCGAUCUUGCCAGUACCUGACGAAUAAGCAUCGGCUAACUCCGUGCCAGCAGCCGCGGUAAUACGGGGGAUGCGAGCGUUAUCCGGAUUUAUUGGGUUUAAAGGGCGCGUAGGCGGGACGCCAAGUCAGCGGUAAAAGACUGCAGCUAAACUGUAGCACGCCGUUGAAACUGGCGACGUCGAGACGAGACGAGGGAGGCGGAACAAGUGAAGUAGCGGUGAAAUGCUUAGAUAUCACUU